CCUACGGGUGGCAGCAGUGAGGAAUAUUGGUCAAUGGGCGCUAGCCUGAACCAGCCAAGUAGCGUGAAGGAUGACUGCCCUAUGGGUUGUAAACUUCUUUUAUAUGGGAAUAAAGUGCAGUAUGUAUACUGCUUUGCAUGUACCUUAUGAAUAAGGAUCGGCUAACUCCGUGCCAGCAGCCGCGGUAAUACGGAGGAUCCGAGCGUUAUCCGGAUUUAUUGGGUUUAAAGGGUGCGUAGGCGGAAUGCCAAGUCAGCGGUAAAAUCGCGGGGCUCAACCUCGCUCCGCCGUUGAAACUGGCGUUCUUGAGUGGGCGAGAAGUAUGCGGAAUGCGUGGUGUAGCGGUGAAAUGCAUAGAUAUCACGCAGAACUCCGAUUGCGAAGGCAGCAUACCGGCGCCCAACUGACGCUGAAGCACGAAAGCGUGGGUAUCGAACAGGAUUAGAUACCCCUGUAGUC
rnacentral:rRNA from 1 species